rnacentral:rRNA from 1 species
GAAGCGCUGUUUUCAGAAUCUUCGGAGGAAGAGGACAGUGACUGAGCGGCGGACGGGUGAGUAACGCGUGGGCAACCUGCCUCAUACAGGGGGAUAACAGUUAGAAAUGACUGCUAAUACCGCAUAAGCGCACAGGACCGCAUGGUGUAGUGUGAAAAACUCCGGUGGUAUGAGAUGGACCCGCGUCUGAUUAGGUAGUUGGUGGGGUAAAGGCCUACCAAGCCGACGAUCAGUAGCCGACCUGAGAGGGUGACCGGCCACAUUGGGACUGAGACACGGCCCAAACUCCUACGGGAGGCAGCAGUGGGGAAUAUUGCACAAUGGGGGAAACCCUGAUGCAGCGACGCCGCGUGAAGGAAGAAGUAUUUCGGUAUGUAAACUUCUAUCAGCAGGGAAGAAGAUGACGGUACCUGAGUAAGAAGCACCGGCUAAAUACGUGCCAGCAGCCGCGGUAAUACGUAUGGUGCAAGCGUUAUCCGGAUUUACUGGGUGUAAAGGGAGCGUAGACGG